rnacentral:rRNA from 1 species
UCGAGAAUCUUCCCCAAUGGGCGAAAGCCUGAGGGAGCGACGCCGCGUGGAGGAUGAAGGUCUUCGGAUUGUAAACUCCUGUCGUCUCGGAUGAAUAAAUUGACAGUACGAGAAAAGGAAGCCACGGCUAACUCUGUGCCAGCAGCCGCGGUAAUACAGAGGUGGCGAGCGUUGUUCGGAAUUACUGGGCGUAAAGGGUGUGUAGGUGGAUUUGUAAGCCUUGAGUGAAAUCCUCCGGCUCAACUGGAGAACUGCUUGAGGUACUGCAAGUCUUGAGUGCAGGGGAAGAGAGCGGAAUUCUCGGUGUAGCGGUGAAAUGCGUAGAUAUCGAGAAGAACACCUGCGGUGAAGACGGCUCUCUAUUCUGACACUGACACUGAAACACGAAAGCUAGGGUAGCAAAUGGG